GAUACCUGAGAAAGUAUACACUCUCUAGUUAUCAGAGUAACAUGGAAUUGUUAUGCAAUUGAAAUGUUUGAUAUUGAAAUUGUUUGUUAGGAGAUUAAAUGUAAUUUUAGCUUCCAAAUGAGAGAAUUGGGUUUUCAUAAGGAAAGUGCCCUGCUUGAUCAGUGGCCCACCCCUGUGAAGAGACAGGGGUUAUAAACGAUGAAACACAUCCUUCCCCCCGCUCCACUAUAUAAGCCUUUGACGAAAAGAUAACCAGUUGUUCCAGUACGGGAGGUCUGCAGCCUCUACGUUAGAAGGACACACAUGUCAACUAAGCCAACCUCGGCGUGAGCUAUGGUAUGAACUGGUAUGAACUUUGAGCUUAUUCACUACAGAAGUGAUACUUCCUAGCCGUUGAGUUAGCAGCGGCCGCUGUAACGUGGGCUAGGAAAGGACGGACGACGGAUCCAGUCUAACAGACGGACGAAGAUACCACCACGUAUCCAAUUUACCACCAGAGACAUUCUUCCGAACAGGAAGAUCUGUUGGCCAACCCGGCCAGCAUCUACGACCAAUCUACCGAAGCGCAGCUCAGAGACCUGAGCCCUAGGACCAUGCCUCAGGACUACCUGACAUGAUGACUCCUUGCUGUCCCCAGUCCACCUGGCCGUGCUGCUGCUCCAGUUUCAACUGUUCUGCCUGCGGCUAUGGAACCCUGACCUGUUCACCGGACGUGCUACCUGUCCCAGACCUGCUGAUUUCAACUCUCUAGAGACAGCAGGAGCGGUAGAGAUACUCUCAAUGAUCGGCUAUGAAAAGCCAACUGACAUUUACUCUUGAGGUGCUGACUUGUUGCACCCUCGACAACUACUGUGAUUAUUAUUAUUUGACCAUGCUGGUCAUUUAUGAACAUUUGAACAUCUUGGCCAUGUUCUGUUAUAAUCUCCACCCGGCACAGCCAGAAGAGGACUGGCCACCCCUCAUAGCCUGGUUCCUCUCUAGGUUUCUUCCUAGGUUUUGGCCUUUCUAGGGAGUUUUUCCUAGCCACCGUGCUUCUACACCUGCAUUGCUUGCUGUUUGGGGUUUUAGGCUGGGUUUCUGUACAGCACUUUGAGAUAUCAGCUGAUAUAAGAAGGGCGAUAUAAAUAAAUUUGAUUUGUUUUGAAUGUUCAAAUCCAUUAGAGGGACCACUCUCUUAAGAAAAAUUACCCAAAAUGCUUAUAAAAAAUACCACUUAAGUAAUAUGAAAACAGACACACAAUAGUCCUGGGGUCAGUGUUACAAGAAUUUUCAAUCCCAAUGUUCAUAAACUGAACUUCAAUUAAACUACUCAGUCUGC
rnacentral:lncRNA from 1 species